GAACACCUUUCUUGUUAAUAAAAUAAAAUUAGCAAUCGGAUGAAAAAUUUAAGUAUUUACAAAGAUUUUGAAAUCAAUUCAAAUGUUAUUUAAAUAAUAAAAUACAAACAAACUAAAUUGUUAACGUAAAAUUAAAAUUUAUAAUAGAAUUUACCAACAAAUAAGCGCAACACGAGACUAAACAUGGUCAGAUUAAUGGCGUACUUAUUUCGAUCUAUUACCGAAAAUUUUACAUCAUCUAGAACCGGAGAAAGACACUUUGAAGUCAUAAGGUUGGCCCACAAAUUGAUAGAACAACGACAAGAGUUGAGAAGGUUUGAUGAACAAAAGUUCAGAAGGCUAACAGCUAUACUUAAUGAUGACUUAUUUAAUUGGAGAAAAGGGUCCUUCAUAUAACAAUUAAAUUAUAUUUGUAAAUUAUAAAUUGUUAAUAAACUUUUGCCAAUCAAUUUCUAUAAGAAGUAUGAAAAGAUAAAAGUCUUUUUGUAAAUCUUAGAGGACUUGAUUGUCAAAAUUGUAAAACAAAAUUUAUGAAUUCGUGCAUGUUUUCUGUAUUGUGGAUAUUUUAAAUGUUUUUUUUUUUAAUGUAAGAAUAAAACCCAUGUUCGCCUAGAAA